rnacentral:rRNA from 1 species
UACGUAGGGGCAAGCGUUGGUCCGGAAUCAUUGGCGUAAGCAGCGUGUAGGCGGCUCGGUAAGUCCGCUCUGAAAGUCCAGGGCUCAACCCUGGGAUGCGGUGGAUACUGGCGAUCUCGAGUCCGGGAGAGGUGAGUGGAACUGCGAGUGUAGAGGUGAAAUUCGUAGAUAUUCGCAAGAACACCAGUGGCGAAGGCGGCUCACUGGCCCGGUACUGACGCUGAGGUGCGAAAGCGUGGGGAGCAAACAGG